rnacentral:rRNA from 1 species
GACAGGGGAUGCAAGUGUUACCAGAAAUGAUUGGGCAUAAAGCAUCUGUAGGUGGCUUUUCAAGUCUGCAUUAAAUUCCAGGGCUUAACCUUGGACAAGCAGUGGAAACUACCAAGAUGGAGGAUGAUAGGGGCAGAGGGAACUUCUGGUAGAGUGGUGAAAUGCAUAGAGAUCAGAAAGAACACCAAUGGUGAAAGCACUCUGCUGGGCCGACAUUAACACUGGAGAGAUAAAAGCUAGGGGGGCGAAUAGG